rnacentral:rRNA from 1 species
AGUGAACGCUGGCGGUAGGCCUAACACAUGCAAAUCGAACGGCAGCACAGUAAGAGCUUGCUCUUACGGGUGGCGAGUGGCGGACGGGUGAGGAAUACAUCGGAAUCUACUUUUUCGUGGGGGAUAACGUAGGGAAACUUACGCUAAUACCGCAUACGACCUACGGGUGAAAGCAGGGGAUCUUCGGACCUUGCGCGAUUGAAUGAGCCGAUGUCGGAUUAGCUAGUUGGCGGGGUAAAGGCCCACCAAGGCGACGAUCCGUAGCUGGUCUGAGAGGAUGAUCAGCCACACUGGAACUGGGACACGGUCCAGACUCCUACGGGAGGCAGCAGUGGGGAAUAUUGGACAAAGGGCGCAAGCCUGAUCCAGCCAUACCGCGUGGGUGAAGAAGGCCUUCGGGUUGUAAAGCCCUUUUGUUGGGAAAGAAAAGCAGCAGGUUAAUACCCCGCUGUUCUGACGGUACCCAAAGAAUAAGCACCGGCUAACUUCGUG